rnacentral:snRNA from 1 species
GGAAGUGAGGGCAAUCUGGCCAUGACAUCUGUCACCCCAUUGAUCGCCAGGGUUGAUUCGGCUGAUCUGGCUGGCUAGGCGGAUGUCCCCUUCCUCCCUCACCACUCCACGUGUGUCCCUCCCGAUGUUGCAUGCUCAGUUGAAGAGGACGACCUUCCCCGAUAGAAGAGGAUCGGUCUUCGGUCAAGGGUAUACGAGUAGCUGUGCUCCCCUGCUAGAACAACAAGCUCUCAAGGUCCUUUUGUAGGAGAAUGUAGGAUAGGCAAGCUUCUAAGACUCCACAAACACAUCCAAAUGUCUUUCUUAAAAAAAAAAAAAAAGGAUAAUAGGAAAGACAACACUUU